ACGAUGAUCCCAGCUUGCUGGGGGAUUAGUGGCGAACGGGUGAGUAACACGUGAGUAACCUGCCCUUAACUCUGGGAUAAGCCUGGGAAACUGGGUCUAAUACCGGAUAUGACUCCUCAUCGCAUGGUGGGGGGUGGAAAGCUUUAUUGUGGUUUUGGAUGGACUCGCGGCCUAUCAGCUUGUUGGUGAGGUAAUGGCUCACCAAGGCGACGACGGGUAGCCGGCCUGAGAGGGUGACCGGCCACACUGGGACUGAGACACGGCCCAGACUCCUACGGGAGGCAGCAGUGGGGAAUAUUGCACAAUGGGCGAAAGCCUGAUGCAGCGACGCCGCGUGAGGGAUGACGGCCUUCGGGUUGUAAACCUCUUUCAGUAGGGAAGAAGCGAAAGUGACGGUACCUGCAGAAGAAGCGCCGGCUAACUACGUGCCAGCAGCCGCGGUAAUACGUAGGGCGCAAGCGUUAUCCGGAAUUAUUGGGCGUAAAGAGCUCGUAGGCGGUUUGUCGCGUCUGCCGUGAAAGUCCGGGGCUCAACUCCGGAUCUGCGGUGGGUACGGGCAGACUAGAGUGAUGUAGGGGAGACUGGAAUUCCUGGUGUAGCGGUGAAAUGCGCAGAUAUCAGGAGGAACACCGAUGGCGAAGGCAGGUCUCUGGGCAUUAACUGACGCUGAGGAGCGAAAGCAUGGGGAGCGAACAGGAUUAGAUACCCUGGUAGUCCAUGCCGUANACGUUGGGCACUAGGUGUGGGGGACANUCCACGUUUUCCGCGCCGUAGCUAACGCAUUAAGUGCC
rnacentral:rRNA from 1 species